rnacentral:rRNA from 1 species
AUUGAACGCUGGCGGCAGGCUUAACACAUGCAAGUCGAGCGGGGUGAUGGUGCUUGCACUAUCACUUAGCGGCGGACGGGCGAGUAAUGCUUAGGAAUCUGCCUAUUAGUGGGGGACAACAUCUCGAAAGGGAUGCUAAUACCGCAUACGUCCUACGGGAGAAAGCAGGGGAUCACUUGUGACCUUGCGCUAAUAGAUGAGCCUAAGUCGGAUUAGCUAGUUGGUGGGGUAAAGGCCUACCAAGGCGACGAUCUGUAGCGGGUCUGAGAGGAUGAUCCGCCACACUGGGACUGAGACACGGCCCAGACUCCUACGGGAGGCAGCAGUGGGGAAUAUUGGACAAUGGGGGAAACCCUGAUCCAGCCAUGCCGCGUGUGUGAAGAAGGCCUUAUGGUUGUAAAGCACUUUAAGCGAGGAGGAGGCUCUUUUGGUUAAUACCCAAGAUGAGUGGACGUUACUCGCAGAAUAAGCACCGGCUAACUCUGUGCCAGCAGCCGCGGUAA